GCAAUUCGUAGUCUGACGGAGCACGCCGCGUGAGUGAUGAAGGUUUUCGGAUCGUAAGCUCUGUUGUUAGGGAAGAACAAGUGCGAGAGUAACUGCUCGCACCUUGACGGUACCUAACCAGAAAGCCACGGCUAACUACGUGCCAGCAGCCGCGGUAAAA
rnacentral:rRNA from 1 species